AAUGAACGCUGGCGGCGUGCCUAACACAUGCAAGUCGAACGCGAAAGCCCCUUCGGGGGGUAAGUAGAGUGGCGUCCGGGUGAGUAACACGUGGGUAAUCUACCUUCGGGUGGGGGAAUAACUCAGGGAAACUUGAGCUAAUACCGCAUAAUGCAGCGGCACCUAAUGGUGAUUAGUUGUUAAAGCGGGGGAUCGCAAGACCUCGCGCCUGAAGAGGAGCCUGCGGCAGAUUAGCUAGUGGUGAGGUAAUGGCUCACCAAGGCUUCGAUCUGUAGCUGGUCUGAGAGGACGGCCAGCCACACUGGCACUGACACACGGGCCAGACUCCUACGGGAGGCAGCAGUGGGGAAUAUUGGACAAUGGCGCAAGCCUGAUCCAGCGAUGCCGCGUGUGUGAAG
rnacentral:rRNA from 1 species